UCUCCCGAGUCCGUACGGGAGUUGCACUGAUCGGACAAGACGGUAACUACCAAUUGGGGAGAAAAAGGGAUAAGAAACAAACAAAAAACAAUUUUACAUUUAUACUUGAUUGAGGUAGGGACAUCCCAAGGAUCCCGAAUAGCACGGACCCUCUAGACAUAUUAUUUUCUAGGCCAUUAGCGAUAACAGGAAAUACACAAGCCGUAGGCUACACUAUAGCUCAAGGUGGCUACAUCGGGAUGUCGGCUUGCACGGGAAAAACGGUACGUUUCUAAAAAUGUAUGGUUGAUUCAAUUAAUAUAAGGGCCAUUCCGCCGAAUCGGUGACUUUUCCGUUCCCAGGACAUUACAUGCAUGAAAAGUAUCUGUAUAAUACAUUCUAUUAUCAAGCAAAGUGUCCUGCACAUUGUCCUAAUUGCAUUUUGAAUAUCCAUAAUGUACAACCUUAAUAAAAACUACCUAGAACACUGAAAAAAAUGGAUUUUAGCUCGUCCCCACUACACUUCACCAUUAAAUAUAAUGAUUAGAAACAUUGAGAAAUCUUUUUUAUUUUUUAUUAUUGUGUGACUCUUUUUCCAAUUUAGACAUAAAAUAAAUUUUCUCAGCGGAAAGUCAUAAUAUGUUAGUUAAAAUAAACAUUUUAGUCGUGUUUUCACUCAGUCCUGUUACCCUGACACAUUCUCCCCUCUAAACUUUGGGACAUUCCACAAGUCACAUGAUCAACAGGAAGUAGCAUCAUUUGAGUCCUGAAGGCCAUGGGAAGACAAAGGAGCAAAUCGAUUAAGUGCUGCAGAAAAGCAGCGGCGCUAUCAUGCUCGACGCGAUGCCGACCCAGAAAGGAGAGACAGAUACUUAAAGAAGGAACAGCAGAAAUACAGGCAAAGGAUGAAGGGCUUAAAAGGAGGUGAAAGACAUCAGAGAAGCACCGGAAACAAACUGAAGAGCUACAAAAGCAGCUACAGACACAAACCCGAAAAAAGGAGAGGUAUAAGGAAAACAUUCUGCGUAUGAAACAGAAUAAUCCAUCUCCAUGUACAAAAGUUGACAAACAAAUGAGACCGCUACCACGCUCUACAAUGCAAAAGACCCUUCUCUUCCACGAGGCCUUAGUGGAGGACAUCCGACAGAGGUACAGCAACUCACGGGGAGAAAGGGAAAGGCAACUCAUCUCUAAGAUAGUGACAGGAAAACUCCAAAAAAUAUAGGCUGCAACGUCUCUCCCAAAGUUCAUUUGGGUUGCCAAAGAAAAGGUGGCUGAUGAAUGCGAAGAAUGCAGAACUUAACUUAAACUACCAAAGGAAGAGAAACAGUAGGGUGGUAGAUGGUUCAUAAACAAAGUCCGAGAUUUUUACACCAUGGAUGAUGUCAGUCGAUUAACGACUAGGAAGAGGCAGACCCCUCACCCAGAAGAAAAUCAGACGAGGUUCCUUUUGGACACAAUGAAAAAUCUACAUAUGAAGUUUUUGGCAGAACAUGAUGGGUUUAUCUCAUACUCCCUCUUCUGCUCACUGAGCCCCUUUUGGGUUGUUCACCCAACUCUAAGUGACCAGGAGACUUGCAUGUGCAAACUGCACGAAAACCUCAGUUUUAUCAUACAGAAACUGCACCACCUGAAGAUAAUCAACACUUUCAAUCCUGAUGAACUUCUAAAAUCCGUCACAUGCAACACGGAGUGCAUGAAGUGCAUGUAUUGAGAAUGCGGUGUGCAAGGAUCUCUCUUGUCCCGUCUCUGGCCAAUACAAUGAUAAGAAUGAAGUAACUUAUGUCCAGUGGGCAACUAUGGAUAAGGAGCACAAUAAUGACCCCAAUGGCGGAACAUUCAAAGUCACCAUCAAAAAAAGAGUUCCAGACCACCCAAGAGCAACUGCUGGAACAGCUGAACCUGAUGCUGCGCAAGUUUAAGAUGCACACGUACAACAUCAAGAAUCAGUUUACCCACUACAGGGCACUGAAACAAGGCUUCAAAGCACAUGAAUGCUUAAUUCAUGUUGACUUUUCUGAAAAUGACCUCUGUAAGUACGCCACAGAAAUACAGUCGGUCCACUUCAGAGCAUCACACCAGCAGGCAACAUUGCACACAGGUGUGCUUUAUGUGCAUACAACCCCCCGACUGGUGUCCUUCUGCACAGUGUCCCCCUCCAGACAGAAGGGCCCACCAGCAAUCUGGCAGCACUUGUCACCAGUGCUUGAUUAUGUGCAGAGUGCACAUCCAGAGGUCUCCACUAUCCAUUUUUACAGUGAUGGCCCUUGCACUCAGUACAAGCAGCGAGGGAAUGUUUUCCUGUUUUGUACUGAGCUGUUCAGAAGAGGAUUCACUGCUGGAACGUGGAACUUCUUUGAGGCAAACCAUGGCAAGAGUGCCCCGGAUGGAGUGGUAGGGCCCUGAAGAGGACGGCUGACAGUCUUGUCAGCAAGGUGACAGAUAUCCCUAAUGCUUCAGAGCUGUUUUCUGUGUUGAGCAAGAUGGAUACAGCAAGCAAGUUGUUGUUUGUGGAAGAGGAAGCAGUCAACAGAGCAGUGCCAGAGAUGCCCAAGGAUGUGCCACCAGUUCCAUCUAUGAUAAAGAUGCAUCAGGCAGUAACCCUAGGCCAUGGAGAGCUGACCUACAGUGACGUCAGAUGCUUGUUCACAGCAAGACAACAUCUGAGCUGUUAGUGCUUUAAUGCAAAGCAUUUCACAUUCAAUCCACAGAAGGCUCCCACGACCACAGGAAAUCAGUGGCAAAGUCCUGAGGUUGUUGGCAAAUGGUGUGCGCUGAAGUACAACGGUCAACUGUACCCUGGCAUCAUCACAGACACAAACAACACAUACGUCAAGGUUUGUUGUAUGAAUAGUAUUGGGGCCAACAGGUUUUGCUGGCCAGCCCGCGAAGACAUCCUUUGGUACCCGUUUCAAGACAUCCUGUGUACCGUCCCACCAGCGAGGCAAGUCACAGCUCGUUACAUGGAAACUGACAACGAAGAAACUAGACUGUUUCUUA